rnacentral:rRNA from 1 species
GACGAACGCUGGCGGCGUGCCUAAUACAUGCAAGUCGAACGAGAGCGACCGGUGCUUGCACUGGUCAAUCUAGUGGCGAACGGGUGAGUAAUACGUGGGUAACCUGCCCAUCAGAGGGGGAUAACAUCCGGAAACGGAUGCUAAAACCGCAUAGGUCUUCGAGCCGCAUGGCUUGAAGAGGAAAAGAGGCGCAAGCUUCUGCUGAUGGAUGGACCCGCGGUGCAUUAGCUAGUUGGUGAGGUAACGGCUCACCAAGGCCGUGAUGCAUAGCCGACCUGAGAGGGUGAUCGGCCACAUUGGGACUGAGACACGGCCCAAACUCCUACGGGAGGCAGCAGUAGGGAAUCUUCCGCAAUGGACGCAAGUCUGACGGAGCAACGCCGCGUGAGUGAAGAAGGUUUUCGGAUCGUAAAACUCUGUUGUUAGAGAAGAACAAGUGCUAGAGUAACUGUUAGCGACUUGACGGUAUCUAACCAGAAAGCCACGGCUAACUACGUG